rnacentral:lncRNA from 1 species
UGAAACACGAAUGAAAUGCAAGAAAAAGGGCAGUCUGCAAUUCUUAUUGUAUGUAUAUAUAAAUAUUAUCCCAUCUCUUUGCUUAUUGGGAAGUGAAGGAACCCAUGGAUUUUUUAUUUUAUGUUAUCAGAUAUCACACUGUUUCCUGUAAUUCACUAUGAGUUUACAAACAUCAAUUAUAUUGCUGUCACAUUAUUUACUGUCCAACCUAAAUUGGCUAAUACAUAUUUAAUGUUCAAUGUCAACAUCUCUAUUCCAUUCAUCGAGGCAGAAUUUUAUUGAUUUUGCUAUUUGUGUGAGCCCAAGUGGGAAUGAAUUGUCUGCAAAUAAGGAGUAUCCUCUUACAUCUACUCAAAGGAAGGAGCUUGAAAGACAAGCCAUGAUCUAUAGGGUUUAUUAGCACAAAACAUCCCUACAUUUGGCCUUUAGUGUGCAAAGGUACCCUGCAUUUCAAAUUUUUGCAAUUUUCACCCGUGUGCCUGUUGAUCCUCUCUUUCCUGUACCACCAAGACCUUCAAUUUUCUAUAAAUCGGUUCUUAUUUUUCUUCGAUGAUUUGUUAUUUUUACACUUUUGGUACUCGAUUAGAUGUUGAUUUAAAAAGAUGUAUCUUGGUAUUGGUAUUCAAGUGCAGUGACUGGUCAUCUAGAAAGGUGCAAGUGAAUGGAUGGAAAGAAAUGGAGGUUCUCAAGAGAUGUAGCGCCCUAUCACAAGUACUAUGAGUGCCACUUGUAGAAAAGUUGUCCCCAUUCAAGAAUGCCUGUGGAAGUCAAGAACAACGACAUUGACAAUAAUGAAAAGAAAAGCCCUCUUUUGUUUAAUCAUAAAACUGAUAUAAGCAUUUCUACAUCCUCUAGUAAGAAAUAUAAGAGAUUGAUUUUUAGUAUUUCUACAUCCUCUUGUAUUUCCCAAACUAUUUCCUAGUUUCGUUUCAUGAUGAGGGUAAGGAGUAGGGUGGGGAUGGCACUGGGUAGGAGAGGGAGAGGGAGAGGAAAUUACAAGAUGAAGAUUUUUCUUUUCUUUUUUGGUUUUUUAAUUUAAUAUAUUUGGGAUUUAUUUGUACUUUUUUUCAAAAAUGGGAGUAUGAUUGCAAUUUGUUCUUUUUUUUGCUUUUUAUUUUAUUUAAAUAUAAGGGUAUAUUUUUUAUUUUACAAUUUUUAAUUAAGAAAUUAGAUAAAAACUGAGGAAAAUGAUGGUUUCCACAAUUAAACAUGGAAAUAGGGGUGAAAAUACAAAACAUUGAAACGUAAAAAUAUUUUGCUCACUAAAAAUCAAAUGUAAGUACGUUUUGUACUGAUAAACCUUUCCAAAUUUUAGCUAUGAUUGAGUUUUUUGUUAGGGUGGACUGCAAAUGAGGAAAUAUAGCUUGUCAAACAAAAAGGUGCGGGCCUUUUUAACCUGUAGGCAGCUACAUUUAUCACCCUUUUUCAAGCCUAGGCGGUAGGCAGUGCAAUAAAG